AUGGCCAUAUCAUAUUGAAACAUUGGAUCUCAUCUGAUUGCCAAAGUUAAGCAAUGUUGAGUUUGGUCAGUACCUAGAUGGGUGACCUGAGUGGGAAUACCAGGUUCUGUAAG